GGUUCUAUAGUGUAGUGGUGAGCACGGUCGGUUUUGAAGAUAAUUGUAUUAUUCCUCAACUUCCGACAAACCCCGGUUCGAACCCGGGUAGGACCU